AGCGAACGUUAGCGGCGGGCUUAACACAUGCAAGUCGAGCGAGAAAGGGGCUUCGGCCCUGAGUACAGCGGCGGACGGGUGAAUAACACGUAGGUAACCUUCCUUCCAGCGGGGGACAACGGUCCGAAAGGACCGCUAAUACCGCAUACGUUCCCUGGGACCCUGGUCCCGGGGAGGAAAGCUCCGCAAGGGGCACUGGAUGAGGGGCCUGCGUAGCAUCAGCUAGUUGGUGGGGUAAUGGCCUACCAAGGCUAAGACGCUUAGCUGGUCUGAGAGGAUGAUCAGCCACACUGGGACUGAGACACGGCCCAGACUCCUACGGGAGGCAGCAGUGGGGAAUAUUGGACAAUGGGCGCAAGCCUGAUCCAGCCACGCCGCGUGAGUGAUGAAGGCC
rnacentral:rRNA from 1 species